UCGGAUUGUAGUCUGCAACCCGACUACAUGAAACUGGAAUCGCUAGUAAUCGCGGAUCAGAAUGCCGCGGUGAAUACGUUCCCGGGUCUUGUACACACCGCCCGUCACACCAUGGGAGUCGGAAAUGCCCGAAGUCUGUGACCCAACCUUAGGGAGGGAGCAGCCGAAGGCAGGUCGGAUGACUGGGGUGAAGUCGUAACAAGGUAAC
rnacentral:rRNA from 1 species